rnacentral:rRNA from 1 species
GAUGAACGCUGGCGGCGUGCCUAAUACAUGCAAGUCGAGCGAAAGGACGAGAAGCUUGCUUUUUGGAUGUUAGCGGCGGACGGGUGAGUAACACGUGGAUAACAUACCUAAAGGACUGGGAUAACAUCGGGAAACCGGAGCUAAUAACGGAUAAUAUUUUGAACCGCAGGGUGCAAAAGAAAAAGACGGUCUUGCGGACACUAAUAGAGGGAUCCGCGCUUCAUUAGCUAGUUGGUAAGGUAACGGCUUACGAAGGAAACGAUGGAGAGACGACCUGAGAGGGUGGUCGCCGACGCUGGAACUGAGACACGUUCCUGGCGACUCCGGUACGCAGCAGUAGGGAUUCUGACGCAGUGGUGGAAAGCCUGACGCAACAGCGGGGCGCUGGUGAUGACGACCUUGUGAUCCUAAAACCCUGUUACUAGGGAAGAACAUAUGUGUAAGUACAUGAGCCCAUCUUGACGGUACCUAAUCAGAAAGCCACGGCUAACUACGUG